rnacentral:misc_RNA from 1 species
AAAAAAAAAAAAAAAAGAAAACUCUAUUCAAAACAAUUAGGUCAGAUAUUAGUUAAUAGUAGUCAUUAUCACGAAGACAGCCAAAGAGCCUACCAUAACCCAGAAGUAUGCCACUGGACCAUUUCUUACCAGCUGCUACUAGUUUUUACCAAUAAGCCAUUAACUAAUCAGAAGUCCUUCCCGCCAGAUUACUUUUAAACUGAGCACACAGAUCCAGGCAAAAUCCAGAGGGUGACUUCCUCAUAAAUUGACACAUGCUGCAACUUCAACAAUUAACAGAUCUUCUGAAACUAAUUUGUAAAUUGCACAUAAGAUAAAUUGCUUCUACAAAGUCUGAUGGUUCGAACUAUUUAAAUAAGAAACAAUUGUCUUGACAAUGCCCUCGUUGCAACUUUGACCUUCAUGCCGUUUCUCCCAAGGAUAUAAAAUUUACCCAUGAAGCUGUUUAUCAAGUUCACAGAAAAGUGAAACUCAUGCUGAUCCUCGCUCGAAAGGGACACGAACAUAGAGUCGGCCAUGAAGGCUAACAACAGCAGACGUUUGAAGAGGAUCUAUUCUUGAAGGUAAGCUUAUGACCUUCUUGAAGGGUGUUAUACCCCAAGGAUUGUCAAGCUGCUCAGGCUGACCUGUUAUAACCAGGCGUCCAGCAGGAUCUGAUUGAACUCGCACCUGAAUUCCACACAAGGUAGGGAUGACUCCUCUCGCAAAAGCCCAGGGACUAAAGCAUACACCUCAAAGCAAUCUUUAGAUUCCCGAACGUUGAUCUUCACCCAAUCAGCAGAGGGUCCAACAUCAACAAUUUCCAUUUCCAGUCUACCAGGGAAAGUAAACAAACAAAUAUUUAGAAUUGCUUGAUCAGGAAACAUAAAAGAAAAUGCAGUAGCAUGUCUAGUUUUGGAUUAUUUUCUUGGGGAAAUUUUGGUUCAUCAUCACACAUAGCCACAUAGAAGCAGGUGGAUAAAGAUGAGUUGGUUAAGUGCAUGGUAGAUGAUUUAACCUUUCUAGGAGUGAUUCAAUUAACAAGUGCAUCAAGUUGUAUAUGCUUUACACUGAUGUUCACUCCUUGUAUAGGAUUUUAUGAAGUUCAACCAUGAUUGCAAGAACAUAUUCCUUCAUUGAAAAAAAAAAACUAUCAAGAACAUAAAGAGAGCUAUUAAAAUUUACACAACGAUUCUUAUUUGUUGAAAGAACAUAAUGCUAAAUUGUCAAUGUGCUGAAGAUAACUACAUAUGGAAUAACAGAAUCAUUCAUGAGAAGAACCACAAAUAAUUGUCCACAGUGUUGAACUUAAAUGAAGUUCAGAGCAAAGUAAAGAAAAUGUUAAAGAUACAAGAAGGGAACAAUAAAUCUAUAAGGGAAUGAUCAGAAUCUUAACUCUUUAUCUGUUUCGAUACUUGCAAUUUUUUCGGGAUGCUCCAGGUUAGUCUUCUGUUU